rnacentral:rRNA from 1 species
GAUGAACGCUGGCGGCGUGCCUAAUACAUGCAAGUCGAGCGAACAGACGAGGAGCUUGCUCCUCUGACGUUAGCGGCGGACGGGUGAGUAACACGUGGAUAACCUACCUAUAAGACUGGGAUAACUUCGGGACACCGGAGCUAAUACCGGAUAAUAUAUUGAACCGCAUGGUUCAAUAGUGAAAUACGGUUUUGCUGUCACUUAUAGAUGGAUCCGCGCCGCAUUAGAUAGUUGGGAAGGUAACGGCUUACCAAGGCAACGAUGCGUAGCCGAACUGAGAGGGUGAUAGGCCACACGGGAACUGGAACACGGUCCAGACUCCUACGGGACGCAGCAGUAGGGAACCUUCCGCAAUGGGCGAAAGCCUGACGGAGCAACGCCGAGUGAGUGAUGAAGGUCUUCGGAUCGUAAAACUCUGUUAUUAGGGAAAAACAAAUGUGGAAGUAACUGUGCACGUCUUGACGGUACCUAAUCAGAAAGCCACGGCUAACUACGUG